UGUCUUCCUGUGGACCAUCAGCAUUCCCCACAACUUGGUCUAUCUAGUAGCAUCCCCUGUCAAGGGUCCACCAUAUCCCUAGCAGGGAAGAAAAUUAAAAAAAAAAAGAAAAACCAUGCAUCCAUGCAUAUCAUAUCAUGUCAUAUCAUGUCAUAUCAUAUCAUGUCACAUCAUGUCAUAGGGAUUCAGGAUCAAAAUCCGGGUCUUCUUAGUAUUUAAC
rnacentral:lncRNA from 1 species